UGUAAGCGUAUACCAAAGUUGUUGCAGUUAAAACGCUCGUAGUCGGAAUUUGGCAGUUCCGGAUGUGUGCACGUCGUGUGCGCACUUCGCGGGGAUUGCUUUUGUGGUCUUGCGUAGGAUGAGGCACUUUUAUUAGUGAACGUCCUCACGCAACCACUUUCUACUGUGAGAAAAUCAGAGUGCUCAAAGCAGGCAUUUGCCGUGAAUGUAUUAGCAUGGAAUAAUAGAAUAGGACUUGGUUCUAUUUUGUUGGUUUGUUGGGACUGAGUAAUGAUUAAGAGGGACAGUUGGGGCAUUUGUAUUUCGGUGCUAGAGGUGAAAUUCUUAGAUUACCGAAAGACAAACUGCUGCGAAAGCGUCUGCCAAGGAUGUUUUCAUUGA
rnacentral:rRNA from 1 species